GUACCUGCAGAAUAAGCUCCGGCUAACUACGUGCCAGCAGCCGCGGUAAUACGUAGGGNGCAAGCGUUAAUCGGAAUUACUGGGCGUAAAGCGUGCGCAGGCGGUUUGGAAAGAAAGAUGUGAAAUCCCAGAGCUUAACUUUGGAANUGCAUUUUUAACUNCCNGGCUAGANUGNGUCAGAGGGUAGAGUGGAAUUCCGCAGUGUAGCAGUGAAAUNCGUAGAUAUUCGGAAGAACACCGAAUGGCGAAG
rnacentral:rRNA from 1 species